rnacentral:rRNA from 1 species
UGGCUCCCUGUAAAAAAUAAGGAGUCAAGCCUGCUCAAUGAUUACUAAUAAUUAAAUAGCCGCGGUACCCUGACCGUGCAAAGGUAGCAUAAUCACUUGCCUCUUAAUUGGUGGCUAGUAUGAAUGGCUUAAUGAGAAUAAUACUGUCUCUUUUCUAAUCUAUUGAAACUACCUACUAGGUGAAAAGGCCUAGAUGUUCUUACAAGACAAUAAGACCCUAUCGAGCUUCAGGUUAAAAUCUACCCAAGAAAAAAACCAAAAAGAAAUUAUACCUUUAGUUGGGGCGACUAAGGAACAAACAAAGCUUCCUGAAAUAAGCAUACCCAAAAGUUACGACCCGAAAACAACUCGAUAAAAAAAGCUACCGUAGGGAUAACAGCGUAAUUUUCUUUGUGAGCUCUUAUUAAAAAGAAAGUUUGCGACCUCGAUGUUGGAUUAAGGUACCUCAAAGACGCAGCAGUCUUUAAAAGUUGGUUUGUUCAACCAUUAAAACCUUACAUGA